rnacentral:rRNA from 1 species
GAUCCUGGCUCAGGACGAACGCUGGCGGCGCGCCUAACACAUGCAAGUCGAACGGGGUUAUACGGGAUGAAGUUUUCGGAUGGAAUUCUAUAUAACCUAGUGGCGGACGGGUGGGUAACACGUGAGCAACCUGCCUAUCAGAGGGGGAUAACGAUUGGAAACGAUCGCUAAUACCGCAUGACAUAGCGAAGAGGCAUCUUUUUGCUAUCAAAGAUUUAUCGCUGAUAGAUGGGCUCGCGUCCG